rnacentral:rRNA from 1 species
AGAUUAAGUUAUUAAGGGCGCACGGUGGAUGCCUUGGCACUAGAAGCCGACGAAGGACGUUACUAACGACGAUAUGCUUUGGGUAGCUGUAAGUAAGCAUUGAUCCAGAGAUUUCCGAAUGGGGAAACCCAGCACAAGUUAUGUUGUGUUAUCGACAUGUGAAUACAUAGCAUGUUAGAAGGCAGACCCGGAGAACUGAAACAUCUUAGU